UACGUAGGGUGCGAGCGUUAAUCGGAAUUACUGGGCGUAAAGCGUGCGCAGGCGGUCUGUUAAGACCGAUGUGAAAUCCCCGGGCUUAACCUGGGAACUGCAUUGGUGACUGACAGGCUUUGAGUGUGGCAGAGGGAGGUAGAAUUCCACGUGUAGCAGUGAAAUGCGUAGAGAUGUGGAGGAAUACCGAUGGCGAAGGCAGCCUCCUGGGCCAACACUGACGCUCAUGCACGAAAGCGUGGGGAGCAAACAGG
rnacentral:rRNA from 1 species